GGGCAAUUAGCUCAGUUGGUUAGAGCACCGUCCUGAUAAGACGGGGGUCAGUAGUUCGAGUCUACUAUUGCCCACCA
rnacentral:tRNA from 1 species